UGCUUUAUGACCAUUGCUAAAGAUGUGUUUCUUUGCACACAGGUAUACAAUGUUACUAGGGAGGCCCCCAUUUGAAACUACAAAUCUCAAAGAAACUUAUAGGUGCAUAAGGGAAGCAAGGUAUACAAUGCCGUCCUCAUUGCUGGCUCCUGCCAAGCACUUAAUUGCUAGUAUGUUGUCCAAAAACCCAGAGGAUCGUCCCACUUUGGAUGACAUCAUUCGACAUGACUUUUUUUUGCAGGGCUUCACUCCGGACAGACUGUCUUCUAGCUGUUGUCAUACAGUUCCAGAUUUCCACUUAUCAAGCCCAGCUAAGAAUUUCUUUAAGAAAGCAGCUGCUGCUCUUUUUGGUGGCAAAAAAGACAAAGCAAGAUAUAUUGACACACAUAGUAAGUUAACAAGACUUCUUUUCCUUUUUCAUACCCAAUAUUAUAUUUAAAUUUGGGAAAUUAGUUAAAAGAGAAUUUUAUAUUAGCAUAACUUGGCCAUAUUUGCAUAUUCUUAAAUGUUGAUAUUUAUAGCAUAAUAAAUCCAUACCUUGAAUUGUGAUUGAUAGCUUUUUAUUUUGCAAACAUUAAAGAGGGCUUUUGG
rnacentral:sRNA from 1 species